ensembl:lncRNA
UGUAAAUGAAAAUUGACAGCAUGUUAAUUGUGUUUACAUAGGUGUACUUCCAUCAAAAUAACCUCUGUGACACUUUGAUCUUGACGAGGUCCAGUAUUAAGACUGUAUAGCAUAACCCUCGUAUACUGGUAAGUAGGACUACUUUUAUAAAACUGCGGAAAGACCAGUUAUAACAGGAAUUCUGUCUACAUGUCCCUCAGUGACGUAUAGAAAAAAGCUUACUCUCACCAGUACACAAAGACCACAAUGCACAAAGAUAACAUACAUAAUUUUUUUUUUUUCAAAUUCUCGUUUAUUCUUUUUUCCUGAUUGAAAUGUAUUGUAGGAUCAUUAUUUCAUUCAUCACAUUACAUGACAUGAUGCACCAAGUCUACUACAACUGCUUACAGGAAUACACUGAAACAUACACAAGGUUUACGAUGGAUACAUGAAUUAUAGCUCAUUGCACUUACAACAGUGAAUGUAACAUUUGUUUUCAAAAUCAUUUAGGAUUUUCAGUUUUUUUUCUUUUUUCGAUUGAAUCUCUUAUUCCAUUCAUUCCCCCACUCACUAAUUAGAUGGAAGCCAGGGUCUUUCUUUUGAAAGAAGUUUUUUUUUUUUUACUUUCUCUUCCCAUUUUACAAACACAACAUGUAUAGAAACUCUACACAGACCAAUAAUGUUUCCAAAUACAACUUUUAAAGAUUUUCUGCACGAGCUGGCCACAUACACUAUGCUUUUUUGUUUUAAUUCAUUUUUGGAAAACAAUGUGUCAUAAUUUUUCUCUUUUAAUUAUUUUUUUCAUACACAAAAAGCACAUCAUUUGGCAGGUCGGUCUGUGUGACAUACACUACACGCUUUCCAUGCCUGGUGAUCGUUGUACACGUGAGAUUUACAUGUUUUACAGAGCUGUUCACAAUUCUUUUUCCUGAUAUUUACAGUGAGGAAAAUGGCUGCCCAUGGGCUUCCAGAUGGCACUGGGGGAAAACAGGGGGGCCUGCUGCAAGAGGUCAUGCACUUGUUACUUUUAUGAACAAAUAAGAAAUAAAAAUAAGAAAAAGUGUAGUUGAUGAUGUUUUCCCUGAUGGUAGUAAUGAAUGAGGAUGAACAAAGGGGAAGGGGUUGUCUAUUGAAUGUGUCAGAGCCUGCUAGCAUUAAUAUCGGUCUCACCCACAAACACUACAUAUGUGUUCAACUCUGUGGCUCUUUGUUAUUGUACCCACCCAGGGUGACUCAGACAAGGAGCAAAUCAGCACAGCUACGAUGCUAAUCGUAGUAUUACUUUUUUUUGGUAGGCAUAAAAAAACGAGACAUGGGUCUAGAUUUCCCAGUCGAACUCUUGACGUCAGAGGCCCAUAGUCCAGGCAACAGUUGUUCAGGAUGGGACAGGACG